rnacentral:rRNA from 1 species
UACGGGGGGGGCAAGCGUUGUUCGGAAUUACUGGGCGUAAAGGGCUCGUAGGCGGCCAACUAAGUCAUACGUGAAAUCCCUCGGCUUAACCGGGGAACUGCGUCUGAUACUGGAUGGCUUGAGUUCGGGAGAGGGAUGCGGAAUUCCAGGUGUAGCGGUGAAAUGCGUAGAUAUCGAGAGGAACACCGGUGGCGAAGGCGGCUUCCUGGACCGACACUGACGCUGAGGCGCGAAAGCUAGGGGAGCAAACGGG